GACGCAGUAGGAUAGGCGAAGCGUGCUGUUGGAGUGCACGUCCAAGCAGUGAGAUUGAGUGUUAGGCAAAUCCGGCACUCUUAAGAUUGAGCUGUGAUGGGGAGAGGAACUUGUUCCUCGAGUCGUUGAUUUCACACUGCCGAGAAAAGCCUCUAGCUAGAAUAACGGUGCCCGUACCGCAAACCGACACAGGUAGUCAAGAUGAGAAUUCUAAGGUGAGCGAGCGAACUCUCGUUAAGGAACUCGGCAAAAUGACCCCGUAACUUCGGGAGAAGGGGUGCUCUUUGAGGUUCACGCUUCGAAGAGCCGCAGUGAAUAGGCCCAAGCGACUGUUUAUCAAAAACACAGGUCUCUGCUAAACCGUAAGGUGACGUAUAGGGGCUGACGCCUGCCCGGUGCUGGAAGGUUAAGAGGAGUGGUUAGCGCAAGCGAAGCUACGAAUCGAAGCCCCAGUAAACGGCGGCCGUAACUAUAACGGUCCUAAGGUAGCGAAAUUCCUUGUCGGGUAAGUUCCGACCCGCACGAAAGGCGUAACGAUUUGGGCACUGUCUCAACGAGAGACUCGGUGAAAUCAUAGUACCGGUGAAGAUGCCGGUUACCCGCGACAGGACGGAAAGACCCCGUGGAGCUUUACUGUAGCCUGAUAUUGAAAUUCGGUACAGUUUGUACAGGAUAGGUAGGAGCCUUAGAAGCGUGAGCGCUAGCUUACGUGGAGGCA
rnacentral:rRNA from 1 species